CAGAAGCUGUGUCCUGUAUCAGAAUCUGAAAAAGCCCAAGUUGCAUGAAUGAAGGAUCUGCAGGUGAUUCAUAGGCUCGGAGAAGUUGGAGAAGCUCCGGUCUAGGUACGCCUGCCGAGAUUCUCAGGAGUGCAGAAAGUGGGAAACCGUCAGCAGUACCAGCCAUCACCAGCACUGACACCCAGGAUGCCAUUAGGAAGAGGUCCAAGACUAGCAGGGCAGCCGCUGUGAGCCUGGAAACUGCUUGGGUGCCUUGAGAUGGGCUGUUACAUCCACGGUGGCUCAGGGCUUCCUCUAUGAAGCAUCGACUCUCCUGGGCUUUCAGCUGGACAUUCAGGAUUCAAAGAUGAGUGCAGAGUCACAGAGACAAACGAGACCCAGUGCUGCGGGGACACAGAGGCCGGGGCCAAGAAUUCCUCCAGGUGGCUCAUGCCUGUAAUCCCAACACUUUGGAAGGCCAAGCGGGCGGAUCACUUGAGGUCAGGAGU
rnacentral:lncRNA from 1 species